rnacentral:rRNA from 1 species
AGAGUUUGAUCCUGGCUCAGAUUGAACGCUGGCGGCAGGCCUAACACAUGCAAGUCGAGCGGUAGAGAGAAGCUUGCUUCUCUUGAGAGCGGCGGACGGGUGAGUAAUGCCUAGGAAUCUGCCUGGUAGUGGGGGAUAACGUUCGGAAACGGACGCUAAUACCGCAUACGUCCUACGGGAGAAAGCAGGGGACCUUCGGGCCUUGCGCUAUCAGAUGAGCCUAGGUCGGAUUAGCUAGUUGGUGGGGUAAUGGCUCACCAAGGCGACGAUCCGUAACUGGUCUGAGAGGAUGAUCAGUCACACUGGAACUGAGACACGGUCCAGACUCCUACGGGAGGCAGCAGUGGGGAAUAUUGGACAAUGGGCGAAAGCCUGAUCCAGCCAUGCCGCGUGUGUGAAGAAGGUCUUCGGAUUGUAAAGCACUUUAAGUUGGGAGGAAGGGUUGUAGAUUAAUACUCUGCAAUUUUGACGUUACCGACAGAAUAAGCACCGGCUAACUCUGUGCCAGCAGCCGCGGUAAU